GAUGAACGCUGGCGGCGUGCCUAAUACAUGCAAGUCGAGCGAACAGACGAGGAGCUUGCUCCUCUGACGUUAGCGGCGGACGGGUGAGUAACACGUGGAUAACCUACCUAUAAGACUGGGAUAACUUCGGGAAACCGGAGCUAAUACCGGCUCAUAUAUUGAACCGCAUGGUUCAAUAGUGAAAGACGGUUUUGCUGUCACUUAUAGAUGGAUCCGCGCCGCAUUAGCUAGUUGGUAAGGUAACGGCUUACCAAGGCAACGAUGCGUAGCCGACCUGAGAGGGUGAUCGGCCACACUGGAACUGAGACACGGUCCAGACUCCUACGGGAGGCAGCAGUAGGGAAUCUUCCGCAAUAGGCGAAAGCUUGACGGAGCAACGCCGCGUGAGUGAUGAAGGUCUUCGGAUCGUAAAACUCUGUUAUUAGGGAAGAACAAAUGUGUAAGUAACUAUGCACGUCUUGACGGUACCUAAUCAGAAAGCCACGGCUAACUACGUG
rnacentral:rRNA from 1 species